GCGUUCUCAGUCGCGCGAAGCCAGAGAGGACCCUGGGCGUGAUUCUCCCUCCCUGGCACAGACGGAGACCCGAGUGACCCCGGGGUCCGGGUGGGCGUGGGGAAUGGACCCAUAGACCCGGGACGAGCGGCGCGGAGCCCGCAGCUGGCCAGCUUCAGCCACCUUGGGAGACGCAGUGCAGCUGCCGCUGCUGACAGACAAGACCAAGGCUCGGCUGGGCCCCACCCCAGAUCCGGCCUGAGCGCCUUCCGCGCUGCUCGGCCUCAAGGCGUGAGUCACCAAGGGCAAGUCCCGUGACUUGGUCCUCAGGGUCUCCGGCCUCGGCACAUUAAUCUUCAGACCCGGCUUUUUCGACGCCGAGCUGCCGCCCAGCCCCAAUGGCAGGGCCUUCCAGGGAGUCCCAGUCAGACUGCUCCCCAGCUCCCGCAGCUGCUCGGUCCCUGCAAAGCCCCCGGGAGCGUUUCUACUCUCCCCUGAGCCCACGCCAUCCCGUCACUCCUAGGAAACUUUUCGCGCAGAAACUCCUGGAGAACAGCCCCGGCCGCCAGGUACUCGCCCGCCCGGACCGCAAAGCCCACAGAGCUUCAAUUCGCAGGAAGGGGAGUGGGGAGCCCUGAGCUGGGGUGUUCCUGGAAGAGGUCGGGGAGCGGGGGGAGAGGCAUUCCAGGCUGGAGGCCUGGAAACGUUUGGAAGCUUUGCUAACCUUGGAGACCAUGUCAGGAAAGAAGCGUACCCAGGCCGUCUGCUGUGUGCCCACCCCGAUCCCCAUCAGUGCCCCACGCACUCGAGCUCUUCUUCGGCGUCUGCAGCCUCUUCAUCCGCGCGGAGAGGCGGAGGUCUCCCGGAAACAGUGUCCGACUGUGGCACCCCAGAGCGUCCAAUGCGAGCUCAGGCCUUUCCCGCAAGUCUGGAGUUUUCUUAUCCAGUUGAGGCCGCCUUCGCUGUACUCACUCUCUGCCUCCCACCCCAUCUUCUGCCACCCGACCUCCAUCUUUGAUGGUUAGCGCCUUCAGCCCUCAACAGCUUCGCACAACCAACCCCUAGAAGCCGUGGAGUCAGACCGGCCAGGGUGGGACCUAGGUUUUAACUCGGGUUCUGGCUACACACGCUGCGCCUCCAUACAGUUUGUCCCAGGUUUGGCAGCAGGCCGGCUACCUUCAGGAAUUCUUUGCUUUGGCUUCUGUCUGUUCCUGUCUGUUGGGCAAGUUUCUAGCUACCCCACUGAGAGAACCAUAGAACAAGGACCCUGGCAUGGCAUACAGACAAGGAAUGUUUGCUGAAUUAAUGGAGCUGGUGCCUUGCAGCUUCCCUUUUGUUCCUUGAAGUUGCCCUUGCUCUCCUCCACAUCAGCUCCCUCUCCUCCUCAGCUACUUAUUCCCCACCCUGGCUUCUUCUAGUCGCAGUCCCCAAGUACUUGCUGAAUCCUGUAUGGACAGCCUAAGCCUCCAUUUCUGACAAUUCCUGUGGCCCCACUCCAUUUGUUUUUUAGACUUCUCCCUCCUUUUUGUCCCCAUCCCCCAAGUUAUAAAACUAUAAUGCAA
rnacentral:lncRNA from 10 species